GAUUACAGCCAGUGACCCUAGGGCCCGGGUUAUAAAUUCCUGUGUCCAUACUGCAACUGGACUUGGGGCAACACCCUGUGAGGCAGCUGAAUGCCACAUCACGAACAACUUCCCCCUCCGCUUCUGCCUUCUCCUGCUGCCUUUGCUCUCUCCUCCGGCCUCCCAUGCUGAACCCAGAUGCUCCUUAACAAGCCCGCCGCAGAUCCCCUGCCUUCUGAGACUGCUUCCCUGGGAAACUUCAGCAAUGAAAGUGACCCACACUACCAAGAAACUUAGACACUUGCUGCUUUACCAUGUUCAUCUGUAUGGGAGAACAGGAAUUUGAAAUUGAACAGAUCCUCCUGGCUAAAGAAUUCUGGACAAAUCAUUCUAUACCACAAGCAAAUAAGUAAAAGUUCAAUCAUCCGUGCCACCCG
rnacentral:lncRNA from 1 species